rfam:Blochmannia endosymbiont of Camponotus (Colobopsis) obliquus strain 757, complete genome.
GGGUCGUUAGCUUAAAUGGUAGAGCAGUUGACUCUUAAUCAAUUGGUUAUAGGUUCGAUUCCUAUACGACCCA